GCAGAUCACUAAACAAGUUCAAACUUAUUUUUAUAAACCAAAUUCUGAAUGGAUAUAAAAAAAAAACAUGAAUUUAUAACAAUGGGUAACGUGCCUUUUCCUGAUAUAUUUUCUUAUUCCUACAUAUGCUCUGACUGAUUAAAUUAUAGUAACACAACAAUAAAGGGGUAGGACUAGAUAAGUUUGAUCAACUUCAUACUGCACCCUUUCGAACAAAGUAGGAUUAUCUGUCACUACAGAGCUGUCUCUUUAAUUAUUUUUCUGCCAAAGCACAUUGUAUAUUAUAUUUAUUUUGUUUUUCUUUUAACCUGUUCGAAUAAACCAAAUAAAUAAACUAAAACUAAACUAUUUAUAACCAGUCAAUGUCCUAAUUACUUUGUUUUUUGCACCCUAUACCUUCACUGCCCUGACAGAAGUGGAACUCUGUAUAAGUCUAUUGGCUUCGUUCCCUUUUUGCACUGUUUUUAAUCUGUGCUUAAUAAAUAAAUAGAAAUAGAAUAGAAACAGCCCCAUGAUGAUUAGCUUCAUCUUCUCUAACGGAUUAAUAAGAUUAAAAGAAAAACCAAAAUAUCCUCUUUGAGUUUGAUGAACACCGCUACAGCCUAGAGUUUUUACAACGCACCAAUCAAUAUCGUUCACAACUGCGUUUAACUGAUCUAUAAAUCAGCUUAUAAUUGAGGCCUUGUUAAAUAAUAUUAUCAGCUUUCAAGAAAUAUACAUUAUUAAUUUUUCCUGAGGCAAAAACUGGAUCUAAACUUUGUCAUAUACAGCCAAUCCUUUUCUCCUUCUUCCUCUUGGUGUGACGUUGGAUCUCCUGCUUGGGGCAAACCUAAAAAAACAAAAACUAUCAGUCUACAAAAUUAUUAGUGGUAAUAAAACAGGCCAUAAAAAUCACAGUUACGGUGUCACAUGUGGGGACUUCUGGGGCCAGCGGUGGAAACUGUUCUGUUCUUUUUCCUCCUUACAACACUGUGAUCAAACAAAUCUUGUUUAAUUGCCUCAUAAGUGUCUUCGCUGGAAUUAUAUAAGCACAGACGACUUCUACGCACACUGAUAAGGGUUUUUGAACUUUAUUACCAUUAAAUUAAUCAUGUCUCCUUUUCUGGCUCAGAGGGCAGAAGUUCCAGUAAUCAAUAAAACACUCCAUUGUGACUGCAUGACAGUCUGCAAAAUGUGAAUACAGUAAAUUAUGGACAUGCAAUAAGAACAAAAAUAGACUUUAUGUGUUAUAGUGAUGUGCUGAUUUAGUUAGAAGAAAACGUACCUGUUUGUUUGACCUCUGACCGGACAAAAUAAAGCUAAAAUAUAUAUGUUUUUGACAAUUUAUGGACUCAAACAUGGUUAUCUUUAACUUUGAUUCACGGAGAGGCUUGUUUGUGAUGAUAACAGCAGUCAAUGGCGUCCACUAGGGGGAGACACUCCAUCACAGACACACAGGGGUCAGUCUCCACCUGCUGCUGUUGUUUUUCUGUGUGAACACCAGGAGGCAGCAGUGCGCACGUUGGUGGAUGGUGGAGAAUUGUGUGUGUGAGUGUGUGCGUGUGUGUGUGGCAGUGUUGCACACAACUGGGGAGUGGGGACCACCUGGGAUCCAUGAAAGGAUUCCCAUUGGGAGGAUUGUUUUUCUCAACAUGUUGAAUGAUAUAAUGCAGAGAAACCAGAGGGGUCAUAGACUGAGGGCAAAAAAAAACAUAUUUCUCUCACUGUAACUUCUCUCUUCCCUCUUGUCUUUGUUUUAUAUGGAUUAAAAAAUAUAUACUCUGAGCAAACAAGGAUAAUUUUCUUGACUAGUAUGGCAACUCAAAGUUAAUGUGAAAUGUAAACAGCUGUAAGUGGCUGUUUUGAAGGAGACAAACACCAAAAUAUAUAGGAGAUGGAUAAUAGCAGUUUGUUUUAACUCUAUAGUCAUGGUUAUAUAAAUUUGAGCAGCCUACAUUUAUACAGGUUUCAGAUGCAGAUACAAUUACAUUAAUUUUGAUAUUUUUCAAAACGCUUUUCUUCUAUUGACUGUGCACAACUCUUAUGAAAUCGAAAAUAAAAAUAACACACCCUUAAUGAUCUUUGAGGCUCCUAUAAAGAGUUUUUUUUACUGGUUAUAAAACAAACUUAAAUAAAAAGUGAUGGCUCUUUAUGACCUACAUACGAUGGGUAAUACAUUUCACUGUUAAAGGUAUCUUUUUUAAGAAAACACGAUUCACAUACAAGAUUAAAGAAUUCCCCUUUAGUCCACAGGGGGCGCCAAAACCAAAACAAACAGGAGGUUCAUCACAGGAGCUUUAAUGUCCAUGAAUGAAGGAAUUUAUUUCAAAGACCAAAAAUAUUUAGCAAGUUUAAAUUUGGAUUGUAAUAGAAAAUUAUCUGCUACAUUUACUUGAUAUAAGACUGUCACUCUUGAAUAAGAUACUUCCAUAAAUGAAAACUGAACAAUUUUCAGGCCCUCACUCCUAGACAGCCUAUUUUUAUUUUUUAUUUUUUUAAAACAAAGGGAGCAAACGUAGAUAUUUAUUAACAGAAACAUCUCUGAAAACUCUGGGCUGUGGACUGCAACAGUGUCAGAGAUGUGAGACGGGGCUAAUCACACGCUUAAAGAUCACUGGGUCAGUAUUGAUCCUUUGACUCCAUACCGAGCCAAUUUUACCCACUGUACAAGUCAGUGGCACAGUUUUUGGACAUUGAUAGCUGUUAAUGUUGGAUUAAUAGGUUCAAACUAAUGUUUUCAACAUGUUAAUAUCAACUCUUACUCUUUCAAACUUUAAAACCGCAAUAUUUUUAAUUUAUGGCUGUUAAAAAUAUGCAUUUCAAAGUUUUUUUAACAACAGGUGAAACCAGGAAUUGGUUCAAUUCAGUGCACGCUUGUGUCUAAAAUAUCCUCAAAAUCUGUAUAUUCUUUACAUAGACUGGGUAAACCCAAUAACAACUUCAAAACAAUCAAGUUUUUUUCUGACACCAUAUUGGAUUAAAGUUCAGAUUACCCCCAUAAAUGCCCCUUUUCUCAAUUUUCCUUUUAUACUUAGAAAAAACAGAUUAAAAAACAAUCAAAAGUAGACGUCCUUGCGCCAGAUUCACCAUCUCUGCGUUUUAACAGAUCCAGUCUUUCUAUUUAAACAGUUAAAUCUGUUUUGAGAUCUCCCUGUUGUUCACUUACAUCACUGUGUUUGACUAAAAGUCCUUUCACAAUAAGACUCCUCAGGACAAACAAUCAGAGGUCUUGUAUCUGGAUGCCCUUGACAUGAAAAAGUUUGGGAAUCCCUGCUGCAGCCCGGGCUUCAGCUUGUCUUUUUUUUUAACACAGGAACACAUAUCCACCCUAUCAUCCUCCCUCUCUCCCCCUUCCUCCCUCUGCCUGAUGUAGUGUGACAGUGUGCUCGCCCGCAGCACUCUGCUGGCGUGGAAACAAUCAGCUUUGACAGAAAGGGGGUGGUGGAGGGGAGGAGAGAGGGGGAGGCAGAAGAGACGGGAGGGAUGAAGGGAGUCGGAGAGGGGUGAGGACGGGUGGAAGGGGAGGAGAGGGGAGGCUGGCGAGCCCGAGGCCUGAGUAUGAUGAACUGGAUAGAAAGACCUGUCGUCAGAAGAGAAACAACACAACAUGUAGAUAGAUAGAUAGAUAGAUAGAUAGAUAGAUAGAUAGAUAGAAAUCACUUCUCCGGAUUUUUUUGGCUAAUUUAAUUAAUUUUCCUAAUAAAAAUCUGACAUUUAAAAAAAAAAGAAAAAUCUUAAACAUUUGAUAUGUUAGCUUAACUUUUUUAACUGGUAUUACUGUCAUAUGUUUGCAGGACAAAGUGCAUUAUUUAGCUGGAAAAUGAGCUCAGUUUUCCCUGUCAACUAGUAAAACACUUUGAAAGACAAUUCACUUUUAAUACAUUUGUAAUCACUGGAAUUUUAAUGUUUUUUAAGGCCAAGAGGAGCUUUAAUUAAAUUCUUAUUUUUUAUCUUUUUAUUUAUUUUUUAAAAUUUAUUUUCUUUGGGCAUUUUAACAAAAACUUUUUGCAGUGUGAGUUUGUCGUAUAGAAUAACUGAACUAGUGUUAUAUGCUUGAACAAAUCCUCAAAGAGACAUUUCAAUUUCAUGAGACAUCCUUGUUUAAAGCUCCUGUGAGAAGUUUUGAGCUUAUGUUAAAUCUUGCGCCCCCUGUGGACAUAGUGGUUUCUUGUUCCUAAAGUAUGACUCAUCAAAAAUAAUUGCCAUGUUAAGUGUAAACAAAGGCUUCUCCUGCCUUUGUUUACACUGACACACAAUCAAACUGUAUAGAAAUGGUCCGUCUUUCUGUGGUUGGCCUUUUUUUUGCUUUUGGAGCUCAUAAAUAGAAAUUAACUUCAAUCUGUUUUGGGACUGUAAAGAAAUUACUUACUUGAGCUUUAAUGAAUAAAUAAAAAUUUCAAAUAAAAAGAAAAAUCUUAAACCUUUGAGAUGUUAGCUUAGCUACUGGUAUUAGUGUCAUAUGUUUGCAGGAAAAAGUGCAUUUUUAGCUGGAAAAAGAGAUCUUUUUUUGUCAAAUAUUAAAACACUUUGAGACAAAAUUCAUUUUCAACAAAUUUGUAGUCAUGGGAAUUUUAUCCCUAAGGUCAAAAGGAACUUUAAAUAAAACUGAGCUGGUAUUAUUUAUUUGAACAAAUCUUCAAAAAGAUAUUUCAAUUGCAUGAGACAUCCUGGUUUAAAGCUCCUGUGAGAAGUUUUCAGCGUAUGUUAAAUCUGGCGCCCCCUGUGGACAAAGUUGUACCUCUUGUUUUUUUACAACCUGUUUUUUCCUGUUUUGUUUUGACACCCUAACGCAUGACUCACUUACACAAAAUCAAACUGUAUAGAAAUGGUCUGUCUUUCUGGGGUUGGCCUUUUUUUUUGCUUUUGGAGCUCAUAAAUAGACAUUAACUUUAAUCUGUUUUAGGACUGUAAAGAAAUUACUUACUUGAGCUUUAAUGAAGCAACACUAGAGUCAAUAAAUUUCUAAUAACAAGGAGAAUUCCCCCAUAUGAAUGACAUCUAAUGUUUUUAAUUUGAUUUUAAAGUAUUAAUGAUUAAUUUGGGGCCUUCUUCUCACUCCUGUAGAGCCCAAUUAUUGGAUUUAGUCAAAUUGCUCUUGCCAGCCAUUGUGCUCUGAAUUGGGGUAAUUUAACUCAACUUGAAGUUUAAAUUGAAAAGCAUGGACGGGCUAAAAUUUAAUCAACAACGACGACAAAAACAGGUCAAAUUCUGUGAACAUUUUAUUAACUUAAAGUGUUUGAAUGACCUGUUGACUGAAACAGAGAGCAUUAAGGCCGCGGUGACCUCAGUGUCAGCCGUCCACUUGACUCUCAGUUAAAGUAAUCAGAUCCAUUAUGAGGCCCCUCUUAAGACGCAGCAUCGUGUCAGUGUUUGAUUCCAGGACUUGAAGCUUGUGCGUAUGUUUGAGGAGAAGGAGGAGGGGUCUGUGUGUGCGUGUGUGUGACGGUUCAGCUGCCUCGUCUGCUCUAACCAGCUAAUAAAUAUGAAAACAGCAGGUUAAAACUUUUUUAUUCGUCCCGUGCCUGAAAGGAUUAUCGCCUUCUAUGGAGUCCCGUGAAAAAUCCCCCAAACCUCAUAAAGCCCGAUGUUGUCCCAUAAAACUGUGUCGGACAAAAGACAGAGAAAGGGGGCUUUUUCACGCAUAAGGGGUUUUCUCAAGAGUGCAUUGAGUGGGAGCCCCGACCGGGACCCGCCCAUAGAUUAUCUGGCUGUCGGUGAAAGCGGCAGGUGCGUGUGCCAGGCAUGGGGGGUCGCAAGGAGGGGGGAAGAGGGGGCCCGGCGGUGACCAUGCAGAAUGCUAUGCAGCUGCCGGCAGGAAUGUUUGCAGAUUGUCACUUCCAUUUAACUUGCUCUUUUUCUUCUUUCCUCUCCCCUCCCUCCCCUCUUGACCUAAAGAUGGAGCCCGUCCCCCUCCCCUU